rnacentral:rRNA from 1 species
CAGUAGCCGCGGUAAUACGAAGGGUGCAAGCGUUAAUCGGAAUUACUGGGCGUAAAGCGCGCGUAAGCGGUUACUCAAGUCAGAGGCGAAAGCCCGGGGCUCAACUCCGGAACUGCCUUUGAAACUAGGUGACUAGAAUCUUGGAGAGGUCAGUGGAAUUCCGAGUGUAGAGGUGAAAUUCGUAGAUAUUCGGAAGAACACCAGUGGCGAAGGCGACUGACUGGACAAGUAUUGACGCUGAGGUGCGAAAGCGUGGGGAGCAGACAGGAUUAGAUACCCGUGUAGUCCCUGUCUCUUAUAC